UACAGAGGGGGCAAGCGUUAUUCGGAAUUAUUGGGCGUAAAGAGCGUGUAGGCGGCUUUACAGGUCCGUUGUGAAAACUCGAGGCUUAACCUCGAGACGUCGGUGGAAACCAUCCAGCUAGAGUCCGGAAGAGGAGAGUGGAAUUCCUGGUGUAGCGGUGAAAUGCGCAGAUAUCAGGAAGAACACCCGUGGCGAAAGCGGCUCUCUGGGACGGUACUGACGCUGAGACGCGAAAGCGUGGGGAGCGAACAGG
rnacentral:rRNA from 1 species